GAGGACGUACCGAAAUGGUUAACGGGCUAGGUUGCAACCCUAGUAUUCGCUGGUUCGAAUCCAGUCGUUCUCU
rnacentral:tRNA from 2 species